rnacentral:rRNA from 1 species
CCUACGGGUGGGCUGCAGUGGGGAAUAUUGGACAAUGGGCGAAAGCCUGAUCCAGCCAUGCCGCGUGUGUGAAGAAGGCCUUCGGGUUGUAAAGCACUUUCAGUGGGGAAGAAAGCCUUGGGGCUAAUACCCUCGAGGAAGGACAUCACCCACAGAAGAAGCACCGGCUAACUCCGUGCCAGCAGCCGCGGUAAUACGGAGGGUGCGAGCGUUAAUCGGAAUUACUGGGCGUAAAGCGCGCGUAGGCGGUCUGAUAAGCCGGUUGUGAAAGCCCCGGGCUCAACCUGGGAACGGCAUCCGGAACUGUCAGGCUAGAGUGCAGGAGAGGAAGGUAGAAUUCCCGGUGUAGCGGUGAAAUGCGUAGAGAUCGGGAGGAAUACCAGUGGCGAAGGCGGCCUUCUGGACUGACACUGACGCUGAGGUGCGAAAGCGUGGGUAGCAAACAGGAUUAGAUACCCCAGUAGUC